rnacentral:tRNA from 1 species
GGUGAGAUGGCCGAGCAGUCUGAGGCGCCAGACUAGGGACCAGGACGAUUUGCGUUCAUCUCCUUCACUUCAUACUGAACAAUCUGGAAUAGUGUGAGUUCGAAUCUCACCCUCGUCG